GGUUGUUUUCAUCUGUUGCUAGAGCCAUAUGUCUCCAAAGGAAGGACCAGCUCUGCCAUUUGAACAAUCCUCCUCCAUCUGCUGCUACUGCUCCUAUUAUUGUGGCUGUAUGUGAAGUGGCAACUCAGUGACGCCAGGCUUGCAGACACUUCAUCAGUCUAUCCAUCAUUCCUCAAGUGUUUCCAAUAACCCAUUCUAGGUUCCAUGGUUCAUCAGGACUCUGAUGCCUAAUUGGCUGCAGGAUUGCCUAUAACUCUCGAUAGCCUGAUUCAGAGCAAGAGGAAUUGUUGAAUCUACAUAAUAAAGCGAGUGUGAUGAAAGUUAUCCCUGGAUAUUUAACACUGUGUAACAUCACAGAGCUACGGCCAUGCCCAUGUGGCCAUAGAGAGCAGCUGUGACUGGGCUGUGGGUACUGGACUUGCCUGGUUUUGUCUGGACUUGUAUGAGGUGAGUGAAUGGUGACAGACAGAGAAGGAGCAAGCUUGUAUGGAGUUUGCUUUCCAAGAUGUGGGAGUCCAAGCAAAAUCAGAGAGAUCUAAAAGCUGCUUUCAUCUCUGGCUGUGCUGCUCAGAGAGAACUGAGCGUGGCCAGAUCUUGUUCACACUGCAAGUUUCCCAGCGAGUUCAAGGUGAAAGAUAACUUUCC